AGUGAACGCUGGCGGUAGGCCUAACACAUGCAAGUCGAACGGCAGCACAGUAAGAGCUUGCUCUUACGGGUGGCGAGUGGCGGACGGGCGAGGAACACAUCGGAAUCUACUUUUUCGUGGGGGAUAACGUAGGGAAACUUACGCUAAUACCGCAUACGACCUACGGGUGAAAGCAGGGGAUCUUCGGACCUUGCGCGAUUGAAUGAGCCGAUGUCGGAUUAGCUAGUUGGCGGGGUAAAGGCCCACCAAGGCGACGAUCCGUAGCUGGUCUGAGAGGAUGAUCAGCCACACUGGAACUGAGACACGGUCCAGACUCCUACGGGAGGCAGCAGUGGGGAAUAUUGGACAAUGGGCGCAAGCCUGAUCCAGCCAUACCGCGUGGGUGAAGAAGGCCUUCGGGUUGUAAAGCCCUUUUGUUGGGAAAGAAAAGCAGCAGGUUAAUACCCCGCUGUUCUGACGGUACCCAAAGAAUAAGCACCGGCUAACUUCGUG
rnacentral:rRNA from 1 species